UACGUAGGGUCCGAGCGUUGUCCGGAAUUACUGGGCGUAAAGAGCUCGUAGGCGGUUUGUCGCGUUGUUCGUGAAAACUCACAGCUUAACUGUGGGCGUGCGGGCGAUACGGGCAGACUUGAGUACUGCAGGGGAGACUGGAAUUCCUGGUGUAGCGGUGAAAUGCGCAGAUAUCAGGAGGAACACCGGUGGCGAAGGCGGGUCUCUGGGCCGAUACUGACGCUGAGGAGCGAAAGCGUGGGGAGCGAACAGG
rnacentral:rRNA from 1 species